UGGCCAGCACUGCCCGGUGGCUCCAGGCUCCUGACAGCAUUUUGUUAUUUGGAGUGAUCCUCCAGAGGCAGACGAACUGCUUGAGCUGCCAAAUUUCCCCCAGAAAGAAAGAAAAAAAAAAGAUGAUUUUGAAGCUUUUAGAAAAAGCAAAUAUUUUACUUUACAAAAUGCGAUCUUCUCUACAUUCUUCAAGGGAAGGGUGUGCAGAGAAGUCAGUGGAGGGAAAAGCUCUUCUCACAGAGCUCCGGGCUCCGCUCUGGAGAGGCGCUCAGGAGAUGCAGACACUUGUCAAUCACGGUUCCAGCGCGAUUCAGGGGAGAGAAGGCAGGUGGGGGGCAGGCUGCAGGUGGCCCGUAGCUCACCUCCCCCUCUAUCUUUGGGACAAGUCCCUGCCUGGCUCUGGGCGGCAGUGUUUCUGAAGCUUCUAGCCAAUCCUGAGCACUCCUGUGUCCACACCUGGAGUUCCAUCCCCCAGAAGCCCUGUGGAGGCACCUUCCCAGGAGGGCGGGUGUCCUCUGGAGUAAGCAGGUGUCCCUCCAUACUAAACAUAUUUACUGCAUGCCCACUGUUCGCUGUACAUACAGGUAUGUUCCUUGUGAAUUUCACCGCUUCUGUCUCUCCCACAGAUGGCGAACAUCUCACGGGACACGGCUAAUGUCUACUGAGCAUUUUACCCUGGUGGGGUGUGUGUGUGUUGGGGGGAGGCUGUUGUUUGCAUUCAUUAACUCAUUCGGCCUUCAAACCAGCCCUCUCAGGGAGAGAUUAUGAUCAUCCCAAUUUUACUGAGAAGGAGCAGAGGCCCAGCGAGGUUCAGAAACUUGCCUGAGGACACACAGCGAGGAAGCAUCAGAGCCCACGCUGACACAGACAGCCCACCUCCCGGGCCUACUCUGUCUCAUGCUGUGCUGUCUCCUGAAAGCUCCUUGCUGAUUAGUGGGGAUGAGGUGGCUCCCAUUUUAAUCCGGGAGCAUCAGUGCAGGAGGCCCUUCUUAUUAUCUCACUGUUCCCCAUGCUGCAUGGAGAAAUGAGGAGUUCCUCCCAUUUCACAGAUCGGGUCCUCAGGGGUGAGUGGGGAGCCACACGUUCAGCCCCGGGCCGUGCUGCCCUUUGGUGAGGACACCGUCUCUGGCAGGGUCUGAGCUUUCAAGCUCCCCCGGACAGGGUGCGGCCACAUCACCUGUGCGGUGUCUGCAGCGCUGCCCGCCACCGGGCCUCGGACCCACACAUGGGCAGCACGCUGAGUCGUUGCCACAGGCCUGGGGGUGGCCACUCCUGGGGUGAACAUUCCCUUGGGUGGCAGGCAACAGGCCUGGCCCGGCUCUCUUUUCUGUUUCUGCCUCUCCAUCCUCUGUAAGCCCAGGGAGAAGAGGCUUCCUCCUUGUGCAGUG
rnacentral:lncRNA from 1 species